AUUUGCUCUUAUUUCGCGCAAUAAAAAAGAAUAAAAAUUUAUCGAACAUUUUGUUAAAGAACAGUAAGGAUAAAAUGAAAAAAAACUUUCUUUCGAUGAUUUAUAAAUUCAACUUGAACAUUACCGGAACGAGCGUAUUGAUUCGUCAUAUUGCAUCGUUCUCAGCAGGAUUUAAAUUCGUUUGGCGUGUACGAAGACCGAUUAUCGAGAAAUUUAUAUCCCGGUCGAUCGAUAGUUACGACGCCAUUAGAGGAAGUAUCGAUAUCGAUUACGCUUGAUUUACCGCGUCUCUGCCAGGUACCGCGUAACCACUGCGAAUUUCGUUUUUUCCAAUUAUAGUAUAGUUUUUAUUGUAAUUAAUAAAUACUUUCACUGCUUUCUUUUUUUUUUCACCUUUAAUCGAAAGAAAUUUAUCACAAAUUAUCUUGUGAUUUACGAUUAUUUCCGACUUUGAUUUCACAUAUACGAUUACAUAUACUUCUUAACGAUAUUCGCGAUGGACACGCCAUCUGCUUAGUUUAUGGUGAUUCUUAUUUGCGUAGAAAUAUUUAUCUAUAUACGUAUAUUUUGAAUCGUGUGAAAAUAGAUAAUAAUUUAAAGAUAAAUUUUGAUUAAAAUAUCAAAAUUCUCGUGUAAAUAGCAAUAUUCGUGUUAAAAUAUUUAUAUUUAUAUUGAACAUUAUUUUUACGCGAAACAGUAAACUAGUGCAAAUGUAAAUGUUAGAGGUUAUGGUAUCAAUCCUUGAUGACGCAGUAAAAUAACAAAAAGUUCAAAGUACUAGCACAGGUGCGUCUUACGACUACGAACUACAACUGGUGGCAAAAAAUGAAUCAGCGGAUGUCAGUGAUAUACAUUUCUUGAAGGCAGUGCUGUUAUUCGAUUUCAAAAGAAGCACUUGGUAAAUCCAAUAUUUUGUAAUACGUGAUAAGCUCUUUUGAUUGUUUCUUCGAUAUAAAAGGUGUCUCAAAACAUGUGGGGACAAAUUAAAAAGCGUAUUAUUUCACCAAUUUUCGUAAACGAUUUCCUC